GGUGUUGUAGCUCAGUGGUAGAGCACUUGCCUAGCAUGUGUGAGGCCCUGAGUUUGAUUCUCAGAACCACAU
rfam:Ictidomys tridecemlineatus contig003595, whole genome shotgun sequence.